AAUGGAUGGUUAUUAAUAUGAUCAUCAAUAAGAUGCUAAAGAAGUAAGAACAUCAUUCUAGUGUUUAUUGCAAUUGUUGAUACUUUUCCCAUAGUGCCCAAGACAACCAGGUAGUGUGGAAUGUGGGUAUUACGUGAUGAGAUAUAUGAAGGAAAUCAUUGCUAAUCCAAACCAACUAACAUCAAAGUUGGCAGUGUUUUCAAUAUGGAUCAUUUUGGGGGUUGCUCUAUUAUGAUUGAUGUAUAGUUGGCAUAUUGAGAGGUGAAGCCAAGUAGACAUGGUUGUACAAAAAGGCAUAGGUCAUUCUAUUAACAACGUCACUACUGCUCUUGAUGAAGGACACCCACAAACAAUUCAAAAUAUAUCAUCAAAAGAAUUUUGAGAUUGAGCAUCUAGAAAGUGAGUUACAACCAUCCUUUUGCACUUGGAAGAAAAAUGAUGUAAAACUAGAUGUAGUGAAGGUUAUGAACAAUUCAAAGUUGAAGAAGAAGUUGUAAAAUUGUUGGUUUUAGUUGUUGAUUAUGUAUGAUGUUUAUGGAUAAAUUGUAAUAGUGAAAAAGGAAGACCAUAUUUGAUACUUUUUGUCAAUGGAGAUUCUUAAAUUAAGUUUUCAUUAUUAAUUUAA